rnacentral:rRNA from 1 species
AACGAACGCUGGCGGCAGGCCUAACACAUGCAAGUCGAACGAACCUUCGGGUUAGUGGCGCACGGGUGCGUAACACGUGGGAAUAUACAUUUCGGUAAGGAAUAACACAGAGAAAUUUGUGCUAAUACCUUAUAAUGACUCCGGUCCAAAGAUUUAUCGCCGAAGGAUUAGCCCGCGCUAGAUUAGUUUGUUGGUGAGGUAAGAGCUCACCAAGACUACGAUCUAUAGCUGGUCUUAGAGGAUGAUCAGCCACACUGGAACUGAGACACGGUCCAGACUCCUACGGGAGGCAGCAGUGAGGAAUAUUGGACAAU